CUCAUCUCUUUUCUCUCUGGACACUCCACCGCCUCACCUCACUGCGUCACUCUCUCAUCUCUCCCCUCACCUCAUCAGUUGUCACUCUCAGUCUUUCACAGCUCACCUCAUCACUUUCUCUCUCUCUUGGUCUCGCUCUCGGUCUCACACUUAUAAGCUCGUGGUCGCAGUCUCGUACCCCUGCUUCGCUUUGUCGGCAACAGAAGCAGACGGAACCAGUCAAGCAGCAUCUACUCCGUCGGGUGGUGGUGAUGGUCAUCGUCUUCUUGUUUGGUCGCGUCUCGGAACCAGUCAAUCAGAGGCCACAAUCCCAUUUACAUCUCAUCCAAUCUCAUCUUCUCUCAAUUCGACAUAACUCCAGUUCUCCUUCAUCAAGGUUAAAAGUUCUCUAAAAUUCUAUUGCCCACAAAUGGUGAAUGGUAUCACGCACGAGCCUUCUCCUUCCAUGCUCGUCGGCCUGUUUAACGCCUUACUUCCACGGCGCCAAGCCUACCUCAAGGCUUUCUCUACCGAAAAAAUUGUUCGGACGCAUGGGCUCUUGUUAGAACUCACCUCCAAUGUGAACCCCAUUGUUACCGAACUCACUAUCAUUACCGGCCAGCAGAGGAAACACUCUAGUUCGAUAAUAUUGGUGGUGAUAGGUUGGACUCAACGAGAACUGUAGGUAAUACAAGAGAAAGAGGGUUGAAUGAAUGGCAGCAAAAGAAAUUUUCUAGUGAUGGUUGGAACAUAUUUCAAACUUCCAAGACUUAUAAUCUCAAUGAUGAACAACAACGUCAAAGUUCAAGAGCUCUUAUUGAGGCAUAUGGUUGUAACAAAGGCUGUGAAAUUCCUAGUACUGAGCAACCUGGUAGAAAUGGUUUAGGGAGCAAGUUUCCAUUGGCAUCAUGGCAGGACACUGAAGAAGAGGAGUUUGAUUGGAAAGAUAUGAAUCCAGGAUUAGUAGACUGUAGUAGAAACAAUAGUUCUAUGCAAUCAAGUGUUAGAUUCUCCAGAAAAAGGAAGUUAUCUAAUGAUCUAUCUAAUUCUUCACAUUAUCCCUUUAAUAUGGGGGCUGCUCCCUCUGCUGUCAAUGCUCAUGCUACCGUCUUUCCGGCUUGAAUCCAGCAUUUCCAUUGCAAAAAUAUCCUAGGAGUCUGUUUGAAUCAAUAAACAUUAAUAAUAACACCAAUGUGGGUCAUGGUCCAAAUAGAACUCUGUUUAUACAUGACCAGUUGCCUAAUCAACUUGGACCAAUUCCUCUAACCUGCAAAAUCAAGGACAAGCUCCUCAACAACAAUUUCUUCCACCUCAAGUUCCAUCUCAAACCAUUAUCUGAUAUGCAGGGCCAAAGUUUACAUUUACAUGGGAGAACCUUGCCACCUUUACAUUCAAGCCUCCCAACUGCUCCAUCACAAAUGAUGUCUCAUCCCCAUGUUGAUGCUUCGAUGACAAGUAAACCACCACCUGCAUAUCUUAAUUUGAUUAGUUCACUAGUGAACCACGGUGUGAUCUCGGUAACUAAUCCACCCACCAAUCCACCCACCAGACUGGAUUUCAUUGGGACAGAGUUCGAUCUAGAUAUCUUGAAGGUUCGUCAUGAAGGUGUAAUCAGUGCCUUAUAAGGUGAUCUUCCUAGAUAAUGCACGAGCUGCGGUCUCCGAUUCAGAAGGCAAGAUGAGCACAGUAAACAUAUGGAUUGUCACGUAACUAGGAACCGAAUGUCGAAAAGCCGGAAGCAUAAGGGGUUUCAAAAGUGGUUUGCAAGUGAAACCAUGUGGUUAAGUGGUGCAGAGGCUUCGGAAAAGGAAUUGAUUCCAGGGUCAUUGGCUCCCGAGGAUACAAAGAAAAUGAAAGAUGGGGAAGAGUUAGGCGUUCCUGCUGAAGAGGAUCAGAGUCGAUGUGCACUAUGUGGAGAGGGCUUCGAUGAGUUUUACAGGCACGAAAUGGAUGAGUGGAUGUAUAGAGGAUCCACAUACCUUAAGGCACCCAUGGGAACAACUUUGGGCACCCUGGACAGACAUCAACUAAGGCCCAUUGUUCAUUCCAAAUGCAGAUCUGACUCUGACUCUACUAUGCCCUCAACCAACAGGGAACCUACCAAGAGAAUAGUAAGUGAAAAAGAAUGCGGGUCGACCAAACAUCCGUUUUGUGCACCCUUAAUUAGGACUUACUAAUACUUUUUAGGGUAGAGUUGAAUCAUAUAUAGCUAUAGUUAUGCUAGUAGUGUUCCCAAUUUCUUGUCGUCAAAUACUGUUAGUUGCUAUUGUUAGUGCUUUAUUAUUGUUCCGGUGGGAAUCUUUGCAGUAGAUUUUAUUUAUCAACAAAAUCACAUUGCAUUACUGUAUCAAUAAGCACGUUUAAUUCAUUGAAUUCAAUAAAACUCUGCGU